rnacentral:rRNA from 1 species
GACGAACGCUGGCGGCGUGCUUAACACAUGCAAGUCGAACGGAAAGGCCCUGCUGGCUGGGUACUCGAGUGGCGAACGGGUGAGUAACACUUGUGUGAUCGGCCCUGCACUUCGGGAUAAGCUUGGGAAACUGGGCCUAAUACCAGAUAGGAACCAGCUUUAGGGUGGUGGUUGGGGAGUUUUUUGGGUGUAGGAGUAGGUUGCGGCCUAUCAGCUUGUUGGUGGUGUAAUGGCCUAGCAAGGCGGCGACGGGGAGCCGGCACGCGAGGGUGUACGGCCACAUCGGGCUCGAGCGAGAGCCAAGAGUGGUGAGGGAGGCAGAAGGGGGGCAAACUGGACAAAGGGAUGCCGCGUGAAGGAGGAAGGCCGUGGGGGGGAAGAAGGCUUUCGGCGUGUAAAAACCUUUUGAUAGGGAUGACGCUUUUUAGUGACGGUACCUAGAGAAGAAGCACCGGCUAACUACGUG